GAUGAACGCUGGCGGCGUGCCUAAUACAUGCAAGUCGAGCGAACGGACGAGAAGCUUGCUUUUCUGAUGUUAGCGGCGGACGGGUGAGUAACACGUGGAUAACCUACCUAUAAGACUGGGAUAACUUCGGGAAACCGGAGCUAAUACCGGAUAAUAUUUUGAACCGCAUGGUUCAAAAGUGAAAGACGGUCUUGCUGUCACUUAUAGAUGGAUCCGAGCUGCAUUAGCUAGUUGGUAAGGUAACGGCUUACCAAGGCAACGAUGCAUAGCCGACCUGAGAGGGUGAUCGGCCACACUGGAACUGAGACACGGUCCAGACUCCUACGGGAGGCAGCAGUAGGGAAUCUUCCGCAAUGGGCGAAAGCCUGACGGAGCAACGCCGCGUGAGUGAUGAAGGUCUUCGGAUCGUAAAACUCUGUUAUUAGGGAAGAACAUAUGUGUAAGUAACUGUGCACAUCUUGACGGUACCUAAUCAGAAAGCCACGGUUAACUACGUG
rnacentral:rRNA from 1 species